UGGUGGUUAUGGCGGAGCGGCUGCACCCGAUCCCAUUCCGAACUCGGCCGUGAAACGUUCCUGCGCCAAUGGUACUUUGUCUCAAGACACGGGAGAGUAGGACGCUGCCAGGUU
rnacentral:rRNA from 1 species